rnacentral:misc_RNA from 1 species
GUGAAUCAUCGAAUCUUUGAACGCAAAUUGCACUUUUUGGUAUUCCGGAAAGUAUGCCUGUUUGAGGGUCAGUUAAAUAAUAAUCGGUAUGGUUGCUGGCUUUCGUGGUUACGGUUCGGAAUUGGGUCGUCUUCCCUUCGGUUAAGUGACUUAAAAUUUUUUCAUGAUUUACGUACGUCUUUAAAUCGCUUACGUACGUUUGAGAUAUCGAAUGCUUAUUAGAUUCGGUCAUUCCCAUGCUUCGCACCUAUAAUUUUUCAUUAAUUGGCCUCAAA